rnacentral:rRNA from 1 species
CGAACGGGUGAGGUAAUACAUCGGAACGUGUCCGCUCGUGGGGGACAACCAGCCGAAAGGUUGGCGUAAUACCGCAUGAGUUCUACGGAAGAAAGAGGGGGACCCGCAAGGGCCUCUCGCGAGCGGAGCGGCCGAUGACUGAUUAGCCUGUUGGUGAGGUAACGGCUCACCAAAGCAACGAUCAGUAGCUGGUCUGAGAGGACGACCAGCCACACUGGGACUGAGACACGGCCCAGACUCCUACGGGAGGCAGCAG